GACGAACGCUGGCGGCGUGCCUAAUACAUGCAAGUCGAACGGUCUUUUCUAUGGAAGCUUGCUUCCGCUGAGAAGAUAGUGGCGAACGGGUGAGUAACACGUGGGUAACCUGCCCAUAAGAGGGGGAUAACAUCCGGAAACGGGUGCUAAUACCGAAUAGUUUUCUUGAUCGCAUGAUUGAGAAAGGAAAGACGGCCUUUGUGCUGUCGCUUAUGGAUGGACCCGAGGCGUAUUAGUUAGUUGGUGAGGUAACGGCUCACCAAGACGAUGAUACGUAGCCGACCUGAGAGGGUGAUCGGCCACAUUGGGACUGAGACACGGCCCAAACUCCUACGGGAGGCAGCAGUAGGGAAUCUUCCGCAAUGGACGAAAGUCUGACGGAGCAACGCCGCGUGAGUGAAGAAGGUUUUCGGAUCGUAAAACUCUGUUGUCAGAGAAGAACAAGUCGGAGUGUUACUGCUCCGGCCUUGACGGUAUCUGACCAGAAAGCCACGGCUAACUACGUGCCAGCCGCCGCAGUAACAC
rnacentral:rRNA from 1 species